rnacentral:lncRNA from 1 species
ACUAGCACUAACAAUAAAAUAAAAUUCUAAAAAAUUAAUUUGUAGAAAAAUAGUGAAAACAAAAAUUAAAUUUAUUCAAUUUCAUUCCCAAAACCCCAAACUUUUUCAUCAAAUGCAACGCAAGAUGUUCUCCCGAUAGGCUUCUCCAAUGGCAAUCCAGCUGACCAACCACCAUUUCUCACCGUUUCUUGUUGAAAACUGAAGCAGCUGACCAAAAACUCCAAGCUAUUUCUUUGUUUGCGAAUCAAGAUCCUUAUGAUCCCUCAUGGGCUUUAACUCCCCUUCUUCCACAAUUUCUUCAAUUUUCUCUUCUUUGCUUUUUCAACCUUGAACAACACUUGAAGAUGAACCAUGCUUGAAGAUUACUACCAUGAAAAUGGGAAACUCUUUUGUCAUUGAAAAAGAAUAAAAUAUACAUUUUGAGAUUUUAUUCGUUCGAAGUGUCCCAUAUUUUUUAAUGGCGUUAUAUUUUG